UAGGGGCUCUGGCUGAAACCAAUCAGGCUCUCAAAUCCUUGCCACUGAUCUGCCUUGAAGCUCAAUCCACUUUCUUCUUUAAAGAGCAAGGAUUUGUCUGGAGAGAAGAAAUCUGUUUAGAAUCAUCAGAAACCAUAUAUGAACUGAUGAUCAAAGCAUGCUGUUCUCAUCAUCGGUCUGAUUUGGCUACUGACAUGGUGACAUGCUGGAAUGUUUCCUCAGAGAUCCAAGAGUAAAAAGGAAGCAACAACAACAAAAAAGCACAAAGAGUUCAGAACAAGUAGGUGCCUUCCAGUAAAGUCUACAUGAAGGAAUUGACUUCCUUGAAUGCCUUCAAAACCAAAUAUUUGCACUAUAGGACAGACAGACCCAUGGAAUACUCUCCUGAACCUCCAAUGUUUGUUUAAGCUGGCAUAAAAUCCUAGAAAAAUUCCAGCAAGGCUCCCUGUGGCCACCACCAUCCAGAAACAAAGCCCAGAUUCAUUACUGGCCCAUUACCUGAAGCCUUGACUGGGAAACUUGGACAGAGAGGCAAACAUGAAUGGAGAUAUGUGAUGAGUGGAGUUAUGCUGUCACAGUCAAGCAACCAUCAGAAGCUAGGAGAGAGAAAUCAUUCCCCAGUGUCUUCAGAGGGAUCUUGGCCUUGCUGAGAACUUCAUCUCAGACUUCUACUUUCCAGAACUGUGAGGUGAUAAAUUUCUGUUAUUUAAGCUGAUCGGCUUGUGGCACUUUGUUAUGGCAGCCCUCGCAAACUAAUACACUCUCUUCUAAGUGCCUGCCUGGAAUUCUUC